UACAGAGGUGGCAAGCGUUGUCCGGAUUUAUUGGGCGUAAAGAGCGUGUAGGCGGCCAGGUAGGUCUGCUGUGAAAACUCGAGGCUUAACCUCGAGAUGUCAUCGGAAACCAUUUGGCUAGAGUCCGGAAGAGGAGAGUGGAAUUCCUGGUGUAGCGGUGAAAUGCGCAGAUAUCAGGAAGAACACCAAUGGCGAAAGCAGCUCUCUGGGACGGUACUGACGCUGAGACGCGAAAGCGUGGGGAGCGAACAGG
rnacentral:rRNA from 1 species